rnacentral:rRNA from 1 species
CACGUAGGCACCAAGCGUUAUCCGGAUUUAUUGGGCGUAAAGAGCUCGUAGGUGGUUCGGUAAGUCGGAUGUGAAAUCUCCAGGCUCAACCUGGAGGGGUCAUUCGAUACUGCCGUGACUAGGAGUUCGGUAGAGGAGUGUGGAAUUCCUGGUGGAGCGGUAGAAAUGCGCAGAGAUCAGGAGGAACACCCGUAGCGAAGGCGGCACUCUGGGCCGAUACUGACACUGAGGAGCGAAAGCGUGGGGAGCAAACAGG